AGCGAACGCUGGCGGCAGGCUUAACACAUGCAAGUCGAGCGGGCACUUCGAUGUCAGCGGCAGACGGGUGAGUAACACGUGGGAACGUACCCUUCGGUUCGGAAUAACGCUGGGAAACUAGCGCUAAUACCGGAUACGCCCUUUUGGGGAAAGGUUUACUGCCGAAGGAUCGGCCCGCGUCUGAUUAGCUAGUUGGUGGGGUAAUGGCCUACCAAGGCGACGAUCAGUAGCUGGUCUGAGAGGAUGAUCAGCCACACUGGGACUGAGACACGGCCCAGACUCCUACGGGAGGCAGCAGUGGGGAAUAUUGGACAAUGGGCGCAAGCCUGAUCCAGCCAUGCCGCGUGAGUGAUGAAGGCCUUAGGGUUGUAAAGCUCUUUUGUCCGGGACGAUAAUGACGGUACCGGAAGAAUAAGCCCCGGCUAACUUCGUG
rnacentral:rRNA from 1 species